CCUACGGGUGGCAGCAGUGAGGAAUAUUGGUCAAUGGCCGGGAGGCUGAACCAGCCAAGUCGCGUGAGGGAAGACGGCCCUACGGGUUGUAAACCUCUUUUGUCAGGGAGCAAGGUGCAGGUCGGGACCUGCUGUGAGAGUACCUGAAGAAAAAGCAUCGGCUAACUCCGUGCCAGCAGCCGCGGUAAUACGGAGGAUGCGAGCGUUAUCCGGAUUUAUUGGGUUUAAAGGGUGCGCAGGCGGAAUGUCAAGUCAGCGGUAAAAUUUCGGGGCUCAACCCCGUCGUGCCGUUGAAACUGGCGUUCUUGAGUGAGCGAGAAGUAUGCGGAAUGCGUGGUGUAGCGGUGAAAUGCAUAGAUAUCACGCAGAACUCCUAUUGCGAAGGCAGCAUACCGGCGCUCAACUGACGCUCAUGCACGAAAGCGUGGGUAUCGAACAGGAUUAGAUACCCGGGUAGUC
rnacentral:rRNA from 1 species